UUCAAAAAGGAAGACUUUGGUUUUGGUCUUUAGUAUUUAAUAUUUUCUUUAUUAGAUAAAUAUACUGGAUUUUAUGUUGUCUAAUACAUUUAAAUAAUAAUAGAUAUGGCUAAAGGGCCAGAUUUUGCUUUAAUUUAUCUUGUGUAAACCCAGUAAAAUCAAUAUUGUCUGAUACUUCA
rnacentral:miRNA from 1 species